AGUGAACGCUGGCGGUAGGCCUAACACAUGCAAGUCGAACGGCAGCACAGUAAGAGCUUGCUCUUACGGGUGGCGAGUGGCGGACGGGUGAGGAAUACAUCGGAAUCUACUUUUUCGUGGGGGAUAACGUAGGGAAACUUACGCUAAUACCGCAUACGACCUACGGGUGAAAGCAGGGGAUCUUCGGACCUCGCGCGAUUGAAUGAGCCUAUGUCGGAUUAGCUAGUUGGCGGGGUAAAGGCCCACCAAGGCGACGAUCCGUAGCUGGUCUGAGAGGAUGAUCAGCCACACUGGAACUGAGACACGGUCCAGACUCCUACGGGAGGCAGCGGUGGGGAAUAUUGGACAAUGGGCGCAAGCCUGAUCCAGCCAUACCGCGUGGGUGGAGAAGGCCUUCGGGUUUUAAAGCCCUUUUGUUGGGAAAGAAAAGCAGCAGGUUAAUACCCCGCUGUUCUGACGGUACCCAAAGAAUAAGCACCGGCUAACUUCGUG
rnacentral:rRNA from 1 species